GACAGAGGGUGCGAACGUUGUUCGGAAUUACUGGGCGUAAAGCGCGUGUAGGCGGCUCGAAAAGUCGGAUGUGAAAGCCCUGGGCUUAACCUAGGAAGUGCAUUCGAAACUGCCGAGCUUGAGUUCUGGAGAGGAAGGCGGAAUUCUCGGUGUAGAGGUGAAAUUCGUAGAUAUCGAGAGGAACACCGGUGGCGAAGGCGGCCUUCUGGACAGUGACCGACGCUGAGACGCGAAAGCGUGGGGAGCAAACAGG
rnacentral:rRNA from 1 species